rnacentral:lncRNA from 1 species
GUUUACCCAUGAGUCAGAUAAGAAACUAAUGGUUUUAGAGGAAUACCAUCAAACAUCAAAUCCUUCAUCCUUCUAUCAGAUUAGAUAGAAAAAUUGCAGGGGGGAAUCGAUUCUAUGGUUGUUUGAUGGCGGUGGGUUUAGCCGAAGAUGUAGAGAGGUUGUGUCGUGACGGUGGUUCUGCCACCGGUGAUCACCAUUUGGGCUCCGUUCCAACACAGUAGAUCAGAAACCACAAACCUCAUGUUAGAGUUUUCAUACGCAAAGAGUAAGAGACUAAGAGAGAGAAAGACCUUACGGUGUACAGAAGGAGAGAGACAGGCGAUGGGGUUUAGGGUUCCGCCUCCUCCCUGACCUUCUUCAAAACUAUUCAAAGAGAGAGAACAGCGUAGCGGCUCCGGAAUAGAGAGAGAAGGAUGACAGAUUAGAAUGCUUGCCUGCCACCGAUCUGCCGUUGAAAGGCGCAGAAGAACGAAAGGAGCAUAUUCCAACCUGAUUUCACUUGGGUUGUUUCCUCUGUAGCUUUCGAGGCAGCGCCCACUUCCAAUUUCAUCAGCAAUUGUUUUUAUCCAGGAACAAAACAUGUGAUAUACAAACCGUUUCAUCAAGGAGCAAAUUUUGGUUGUAGAUUGUUUAGGAGUUCUGGCUAGAACCAAUAAGGAGCAAUAAAGUUUUAGGAGCCGAUUGUCAUGUCAACAUUGGACAAAUCACUAGUUCUAAUAAGCUAAAGGAAUCUAUUGUUCUUUUGUGUUGGUGCCACUUUGGUAAGGUUUGGAAAUUCAACCAAGACCCAAGAAAGGCUCCGGGCGACUCAUGCGACUACAAAUGAUUCAUGAAGAUAAUUAGCUAAGCCUCAUUGAAGAUUCAAGCUUCCGAUGUGGAAUGAUGACGCAAGAAGAUUUCAAAUUUCAGCAUUGAAAAAUGAAAUUUGGGAAUUUUCGGGAUUGCUUUUCAUAUCACGAUUCAACCAUGGUGUGUAGGAAGGAUGCCACCUAUGUUAUCAUAAAGCUUGAUGUUUGAGGGUGAUUAUAUCAAAUGGGAAAAGAAAAGAAAUAUCAUUCCAUGGAAGUUGCUUAUGUAUAAAAGUGGAGAUCUUAAAUAGGAGAGGAUAAUGUUCGUGAACUUCCACUAGCUCAAGUUCCUAAGUUGGCUACAAAAGUUGAGUAGCAGCAAUGCGUCAAAACAACAAAGCAACCAUGAAGUUAAAAACUUCGCUUGAUGUCAUAUGCUAUAGCGCGUGUUGGCGAUGUUUCGACAUUCGUUGCCCGCGCCGCAACGCGUGCGGGGUCUAAUUUCUAGUUAUAUAUAAAAAGCAA